UACCAGCACCCCGAGUGGUCGGGCCGAUUAUUGGGCCUAAAGCAUCCGUAGCCGGUUUUACAAGUCCUCCGUUAAAUCCACCUGCUUAACAGAUGGGCUGCGGAGGAUACUACAAGGCUAGGAGGCGGAAGAGGCAAGCGGUACUCAGUGGGUAGGGGUAAAAUCCUCUGAUCCAUUGAAGACCACCAGUGGCGAAGGCGGCUUGCCAAUACGCGCUCGACGGUGAGGGAUGAAAGCUGGGGGAGCAAACCGG
rnacentral:rRNA from 1 species